rnacentral:rRNA from 1 species
GAGUUUAUCUUAAACACUUGUUACAUGGCACCUGAUACUUUAUUACAUUUCUAGUGGCGACGGGUGAGUAACACGUUGGAACCUGCCCCAAAGUGAGGAAUAAGCCACCGAAAGGUGGUCUAAUACUUCAUAAUAUCCAUCUCGUAUGGAUUAAAGCUUUAUGCGCUUUGGGAGGGGCCUGCGUAACAUUAGCUUGUUGGUGAGGUAAAAGCUCACCAAGGCUUCGAUGUUUAACUGGUUUGAGAGGAUGACCAGUCACACUGGACUGAGAUACGGCCCAGACUCCUACGGGAGGCAGCAGUAAGGAAUCUUCCACAAUGGGGCAACCCUGAUGGAGCAAUACCGCGUGCAGGAUGAAGCGUUUCGGCGUGUAAACUGCUUUUAUCACCGAAGAUUAUGACUGUAGGUGAAGAAUAAGGACCGGCUAACUACGUG